rnacentral:rRNA from 1 species
AGCUUUCGGAGCUCGGCGUACCGCUCAGUAACACGUGGGUAACCUAACCUAUGCAGGGGAAUAACCUCGGGAAACUGAGUAUAAUGCCCCAUAGUCCACUACGCCUGGAACGGUGAGUGGAUCAAAGCUCAGGCGGCAUAGGAUGGGCCUGCGGCGUAUCAGGUUGUAGGGGGUGUAAAGUACCCUCUAGCCAUCUACGCGUACGGGUGUUGGGAGACAUAGCCCGGAGAUGGAUUCUGAGACGCGAAUCCAGACCCUACGGGGUGCAGCAGGCGCGAAAACUUGACAAUGCGAGCAAUCGUGAUCAGGGAACUCCAAGUGGCUGGGGUAAGACCCAGUCUUUUCAUAACUCUUCAAAGGUUGUAGAAUAAGGGGUGGGUAAGGACGGUGCCAGCCGCCGCGGUAAUACCGGCGCCUCAAGUGGUAGUCGCUUUUAUUGGGCCUAAAACGUCCGUAGCCGGUUUGGUACAUUCGUGGGUAAAUCAACUCGCUCAACGAGUUGAAUUCUGCGAGGACGGCCAGACUUGGGACCGGGAGAGGUGUGGGGUACUCUCAGGGUAGGGGUAAAAUCCUGUCAUCCUGAGAGGACCACCUGUUGCGAAGGCGCCACACUAGAACGGAUCCGACGGUCAGGGACGAAGCCUAGGGGCACGAACCGGAUUAGAUACCCGAGUAGUCCUAGGUGUAAACGCUGUGGACUUGAUGUUGGAGAAGCUCCGAGCUUCUUCAGUGUCGAAGCGAAGGUGAUAAGUCCACUGCCUGGGAAGUACGGUCGCAAGGCUGAAAC